rnacentral:rRNA from 1 species
GGUGAACGCUGGCGGCGUGCUUAAGACAUGCAAGUCGAACGGCAGUCUUCGGACUGUAGUGGCGCACGGGUGAGUAACGCGCAACUGACCUACCCCAAAGUCGCGGAUAACGAUUCGAAAGAAUCGCUAAUACGUGAUGUGCUGUCAGAUUGUGUUCUGCCAGUAAAGGUUGAUUGCUUUGGGAUGGGGUUGCGUUCCAUCAGCUAGUUGGUGGGGUAAAGGCCCACCAAGGCGACGACGGAUAGCCGGCCUGAGAGGGUGGCCGGCCACAGGGGGACUGGGACCCGGGUCCAACUCCUACGGGAGGCAGCAGUUAGGAAUCUUCCACAAUGGGCGAAAGCCUGAUGGAGCGACGCCGCGUGAGGGAUGAAGGUCUUCGGAUCGUAAACCUCUGAAGCAGGGACGAAAGACACUUCGGUGGGAUGACGGUACCUGAGUAAUAGCACCGGCUAACUCCGUGCCAGCCGCCGCGGUAACAC